GUGGGGAAUCUCGCGCAAUGGGCGAAAGCCUGACGCAGCCAUGCCGCGUGAAUGAUGAAGGUCUUAGGAUUGUAAAAUUCUUUCACCGGGGACGAUAAUGACGGUACCCGGAGAAGAAGCCCCGGCUAACUUCGUGCCAGCAGCCGCGGUAAUACGAAGGGGGCUAGCGUUGCUCGGAAUUACUGGGCGUAAAGGGCGCGUAGGCGGACAGUUUAGUCAGAGGUGAAAGCCCAGGGCUCAACCUUGGAAUUGCCUUUGAUACUGGCUGUCUUGAGUACGGGAGAGGUGAGUGGAACUCCGAGUGUAGAGGUGAAAUUCGUAGAUAUUCAGAAGAACACCAGUGGCGAAGGCGACUCACUGGCCCGUUACUGACGCUGAGGCGCGAAAGCGUGGGGAGCAAACAGGAUUAGAUACCCUGGUAGUCC
rnacentral:rRNA from 1 species